ensembl:misc_RNA Metazoa_SRP Metazoan signal recognition particle RNA
GCCAGGCAUGGUGGCACAUGCCUGUAGUCCCAGCUACUCAGGAGGCUGAGGCAGGAGAAUCGCUUGAAUCCGGGAGGUGUAGGCUGCAGUGAGCUGAGAUUGUGCCACUGCACUCCAGCCUGGGUGACAGAGCGAGACUCCGUCUCAA